UAAAAAAUGUCUGCUGACCUUCUGAUGUGUCCAAAGAACCGUAUGGCACCAUAGUAAUCGUAUCCACUUUAUGGCGUCCAGACCCAUAGAGGAGCAACAGAGGCUUUUAAAAACGGAAAUCCCCCUCCUCUCCACGCCAACCCAUAUGGCGCUCCUCUAUUUUAUUUGCCUGCUCACUUCUUGAUAUAUGAGAGGUAUUAAACAUGACACCUGUGCUGAAUGAGUAGUCCUCCAUGGUGACGUUUAACCAAAGUUUAACCACAAUUCAGUUUAUUCCCUGUUGUUGUUUAUAGCAGAUGUGAGGCUGAGAUUAUCUUGAGGUUCAAGCCCACCCAGGCAGAACAAUAUCUGCACAUUAGCCACGUCUUUCAGUCCAACCUAAACUCUGACCAUCCAGCAACAAUUAUUAAUGAAAACAAUGAACAACGACCCUCGAGAGGAGUUCUUUUAAAAUAGGAAGAUAAAAAUGUGUAAUUUUAUGAUGAGGUCUUUUGCAGACCCUCAACCACCUGAUUCCAUUUUGGUAUGGACCACCCACUUUACUCAGCUUUUAAGGAGAAGGAAGCCAGUUUGGAAGACAGCCUGCCCGCACAAUACUUGGAGGAUUCCAGCUCGUCUUUGAAGGAAGGGUUCAGGGGCCGGCGUGGAGGGCUUCCGCUACAAUUUUCAACCACAGCAAUGUAAGAUUCUCCAUUUCCUUUUCAACAGCAUCACAUUAACCUUUUAAUUAGCUUUGUGAUUGGAGAGCGGUAGAUUCACUUGGAUCAAUGUAAAGAAGGGGCCCAAUUGUGGUUACAUAAGCUAUUAAAAAAGGCUCAGGUAAUUAGAAGAG